AACUAACGCUGGCGGCGUGCCUAACACAUGCAAGUCGUACGAGAAAGCCGGCUUCGGCUGGUGAGUAAAGUGGCGCACGGGUGAGUAACGCGUGGAUAAUCUGCCCUUAAGUGUGGAAUAACGUACCGAAAGGUGCGCUAAUACCGCAUAAUGCCUGGCAACACAAGUUGUCCGGCCAAAGAAGGCCUCUGUUUACAAGCUUUCGCUUCAGGAUGAGUCCGCGUACCAUUAGCUUGUUGGUGGGGUAAUGGCCUACCAAGGCUGCGAUGGUUAGCUGGUCUGAGAGGAUGAUCAGCCACACUGGAACUGAGACACGGUCCAGACUCCUACGGGAGGCAGCAGUGAGGAAUAUUGCGCAAUGGGGGCAACCCUGACGCAGCAACGCCGCGUGAGUGAGGAAGGUUUUCGGGUUGUAAAGCCCUGUGGGGAGGGAUGAAUAAGGUAUGGCUAAUACCUAUACUGAUGACAGUACCUCCUUAGCAAGCACC
rnacentral:rRNA from 1 species